AGCAGAAGAUUACAUUGCAGCUGUGCUAGGGCUGGUAGUGGGAAACAAGCAGAUAAGUAUGGGCUAAAAACCUGUCUUAAAAUACAUUUUGUCUCCUCAGCAGUAUCAGACAUCAAUUUGGCCAACCUGUAGCUGUGCAGCUGCUGUAGAACUACAAAUCCCAGUAUGUUGGGCCUAUUGAAACCUGGAGAUCUGCAAUAACAGGCAACAUGCAGGACCUGCCCUUCAGAAUGGGCACCGGUCAGACAUACUACACCCCUUCAGAACUCCUGUGUUUGCCACGGCGGGUGUAAGAAGCAUCUAGCGAGGAACACUAAGAACUAUGCAGGAAAACAGCUGCCUACCUGGAUGACUCCGACGGAGAGCGGCUGCCUUGAUGACCUUCAUAUUGUUUCACCAUCGCCCGCACACUCCAGUAUGGGUUUCCAAUCUCUUCAUCCACACUGCUGAUCCUGAGCAGAAACCCAUUGGAACAUCUCAUUAGUUUCUCAUUCAAUCUGUAAAUUCUAGAGUCUACUCCAUCUGAUAGAUUAUGAAAUUCAUUAUGGACCUUCAAUAUUGGACAUUUAUAAAAACGGAAUACGAAUUGAUGGAUAAUGAGCUUCCGGUGAGACGCUAUAAUAAAAGCGUAACGUGGACUCCAUUUCCCAUGGACACUGUGGCGAUGCUGUAAAAUGACGACUUCCUGUGACGGCUCGGCCGCAUGGUUAAGAAACUACAUUUCCCAUGAGCAUUACAGACCAUAUCCUGUCGGGCUGGUUUCCGGGUAUUAAGGGCCAUGUGGUCUGGAACAAAGACUACAUUGCCCACAAAUCCCGUUGCGAGUCGUCACUUCCGCGGGAAGUGACUAUAUGGAAUAUAGAAUUAUGUUUCUUUUUCUUUAUUUUUAUUGGUAUUGUUUUACUUCUAUACAUUGGACGUUUUUCUUAAGGAUGGUGUAGUAUAUUCUUUGUAUAAAAAUAGCAAAGAGAAUAUAUACUCAUUUUUAAUUAUGAUGUCAUUUCCUGCCAAUUUCCUAUUGGCGCUUUGUCCUUUAAAUAUCAAGCUACUAACACACUCCAACAUGUCUUGAUAAAGGCCCAGUCCAGGGCUGCAACGCGUAGACAAAAGAAGUGUGAGUAGCAUUUUUGUCCGGAUUUUUAUUGUUUCUUUUUUUUUAAAUCUUUUAAUUUUUUCUUUUUUUUUGCAAGAGGACUAUACUUCUUUUUGAUAUUUUUUAGUGGUAUUUUUUUGUUUUUCGAUUAUGGUCUGCUCCAUGUUAGGAUGUAUGGUUUUUCCCAUACACAUAUUGUAUUUUCCCAUGUACUGUUAAAUAAAUACCU